GAAUUGACCGAGAGCAAAUCCCCCAUUGACAAUGGUAAAUGACAAGCUCAACCAACGUGCCAACGUGCCGUGGGUCGCCACGCUGGACCAGUCGCCGUACACAUCAGCCGACUUUGCCGUCGCGAGUCAAAGAGACGACCUCCAUCCAUUGACGGGCCAACUCGAAGCCGCAUGCCGCCCCGAUGCUCCCAGCGCGCGCUCCCGCCUCCAUGCUCGCCACCCGCCUCCUCGUCCGCGACAACCAGCGCAUCACCGCCCUCGCCCGCGCCGGCGACGUGGCCGCCGCGCGCCGCGUGUUCGAUGCCAUGCCCCGCCGCGACGUCGUCUCCUGGAACGCGCUCCUCACGGCGCUCUGGCGCGCGGGGCGCGACCUCCCCGCCGCGCGCCGCCUCUUCGACGACAUGCCCUCCCGCAACGUCAUCUCCUGGAACUCCGUCGUCGCGGGUUGCCUCGCGCACGGCGACCUCGACGCCGCCUCCGCCUACUUCGCGCGCGCCCCGCGCCGCAACGUCGCCUCCUGGAACGCCAUGCUCGCGGGCCUCGUCCGGCUCGGCCGCAUGGACGACGCGUGGGCGCUGUUCGGCGAAAUGCCGCAGAGGAACGUGGUGUCGUAUACCACCAUGGUGGAUGGGCUCGCCCGGCGCGGGGAGGUGGCGAGGGCGCGAGAGGUGUUCGACGCUAUGCCCGAGAGGAACCUGGUGUCGUGGGCAGCGAUGAUCACUGGGUAUGUUGAGAACGCCAUGUUUGAUGAGGCGAGAAAGCUGUUUGAAGCGAUGCCGGACAAGAAUGUCGUGGCAUGCACCGCGAUGAUAACUGGAUAUUGCAAGGACGGGGACGUGGAGAGCGCCAGGAGGCUUUUUGACGGGAUUCCUGUCAAAGAUGUCAUCUCAUGGAACGCCAUGAUUACAGGAUAUGUUCAUAAUGGACAUGGAGAAGAAGCUAUGAAACUGCACAUCAUAAUGUUCAGAGAAGGUGUAAAACCAGAUCACGCAACUCUUAUUGCUAUCCUGACAGCAUGUUCUGCUCUAGCUUUGCUCAGACAAGGAAGAUCAACACAUGCUGUAGCCACCAAAACUAUGUUAGAAUCUAGCACAUCUUUUUGCAAUGCUUUGAUGACAAUGUAUAGCAAGUGUGGCAAUGUCGGUGAGUCAGAGUUAGUCUUCAUGAAUCUUAAAAUCCAGGAUAUUGUUUCUUGGAACACAAUAAUUGCUGCAUAUGCACAACACGGCAAAUAUCAGAAAGCUAUUGCUCUCUUUCAUGAGAUGGAAACACGUGGGCUGAUUCCAAAUGACAUUACCAUCCUAAGUAUGUUGUCAGCAUGUGGGCAUGUUGGCAGAGUGAAUGACAGCUUGGAAUUGUUUGAUCUGAUGUCAUCUAAGUACGCGAUAUCUCCAAGUGCUGAGCACUAUGCUUGUGUUGUGGAUAUAUUGGGCCGAGCAGGACAGUUGGAGAAAGCAUGUAGUUACAUUAAAAAGAUGCCAUUUGAAGCCGAGAGGAAUGUUUGGGGUGCCUUGCUUGGAGCUUCCAAGACACAUGGUAAUGUGCAGUUGGGUGAGCUUGCGGCGAAAAUGCUUGUCCAGUCAGACUCUGUAAGUUCAGGGCCUUAUGUGAUGCUUUCAAAUAUAUAUGCUGCUGCUGGUAUGUGGGGCGAAGUCAAUCGAGUAAGAGGCCAAAUGAAGGAAAAAGGUGUGAAGAAGCAACCUGGAUACAGCUGGACUGAGAUUGCUAAUAAAGUUAAUAUGUUUGUGGGUGGUGAUGCAUCUCAUCCAGAGAUGAACAAGAUCAUAUCUGAACUGAGGAAAAUUAGCUUUCAUAUGCAAAUGAUGACUGAUGAAACUCAUAUGGUGGUAGAGCUGGCUCAAGAAUGUUGACAGUAUUGCUAUAUCCUCAAUGCUCAUGCCAUUUGCAAUAUCUGAACUAUCCAUUCGCACUUGUGAGUUCUGGGAUCAAAUCAGUGGCAUGGAUUAUUCAUCUCGGGUACAUGGAUUUCCUGAGUGACUUUUAAAGAGAUGGGUCAUAUGGAUGUUGCUAUCAUGGUAAAGCUGGGUUUCUUCCUUGUAUAAAAGAAGGGACACUGGUCUUUGUAAAAAUAAGGUUGGCUAUAAAUAUAAAUACUAGAAAACAGUUCUUGAAGGUUUUGCAGCAAUCUUGACUGAAAUAAACGAAUGGUUGUCAGGACUCCUAGUAUCCUUAGAACGAGGAGAUUGUUCGAUAUCAGAAUGCACAUCAUCUGCUGCCACAUACCUUCCUUUCCUCUCGCCUCCCUUGGCAUCUCUGGGUGAUGCUUCUGCUGAGGUUCUGGUCGACUCUGAACUAAACAUAGCAUCGAUCAUAUCCUUUAGUUCUUUAACACUACUAUGUGCAGCAGCCUCACUGACCUUCAAGGACUCAUAUUGUUGUAUGAUGCUCUUUAAGGUAC